AGCGAACGCUGGCGGCAGGCUUAACACAUGCAAGUCGAACGGUCCUUCGGGAUAGUGGCGGACGGGUGAGUAACACGUGGGAACGUACCCUUAGGUUCGGAACAACACAGGGAAACUUGUGCUAAUACCGGAUAAGCCCUUCGGGGGAAAGAUUUAUCGCCUUUGGAGCGGCCCGCGUCUGAUUAGCUUGUUGGCGAGGUAAUGGCUCACCAAGGCUACGAUCAGUAGCUGGUCUGAGAGGAUGGCCAGCCACACUGGGACUGAGACACGGCCCAGACUCCUACGGGAGGCAGCAGUGGGGAAUCUUGCGCAAUGGGCGAAAGCCGGACGCAGCCAUGCCGCGUGGAUGAUGAAGGUCUUAGGAUUGUAAAAUCCUUUCACCGGGGACGAUAAUGACGGUACCCGGAGAAGAAGCCCCGGCUAACUUCGUGCCAGCCGCCGCGGUAA
rnacentral:rRNA from 1 species